ACAUCACAAUCGUCCAUUUGUUGUUGUGUCAACGUAUGUCGAGCAAACAUUGCAUGAGUCAUCAUGACAUGGCAAGUUUGUCGCCAUACUUCACCACAGCUGCAAACUCACUUCAAUAAAACCA
rnacentral:precursor_RNA from 10 species